GCCCGGAUGGUGGAAUCGGUAGACACAAGGGAUUUAAAAUCCCUCGGCGUUCGCGCUGUGCGGGUUCAACUCCCGCUCCGGGUACCA
rnacentral:tRNA from 1 species